rnacentral:rRNA from 1 species
UACGAAGGGUGCAAGCGUUAAUCGGAAUUACUGGGCGUAAAGCGUGCGUAGGUGGUUCGUUAAGUCUGUCGUGAAAGCCCUGGGCUCAACCUGGGAAUGGCGAUGGAUACUGGCGAGCUAGAGUACGGUAGAGGAUGGUGGAAUUCCCGGUGUAGCGGUGAAAUGCGUAGAGAUCGGGAGGAACAUCAGUGGCGAAGGCACCCUGCUGGGCCGAUAUUGACACUGACAGACGAAAGCUAGGGGAGCAAAUGGG